rnacentral:lncRNA from 1 species
UAAUAAUCCCCAAAAAACAGAAAAUGCUCCCCCUUCUCUCCAAAUCUGUUACUAAUAACCGUAAAGAUAACAAAAGGCAAAAUAUCUAACUCCCCACCCCAAAAUGCCCAUUCACUAACAAUUAUGACCAAAUCACCCUUCUAAUGUCCUUUCCUCACGUAAACACGCCCCCACCUUCCUUGGUUGCCUUCGUGUACUAAAGGCUCACGUAACUCUUCACCAAUGGUUGUAUCAAUACCUCCCCCUUGAGCAAUUUGUCUUGUCCUCAAGACAAAGAGUAGGAAAUUGGCUCCGGAUUGAGAUUUCAUCCUCCCAUGUUGCUUCGUCCACUGACUUCCCUUUCCAUUGAAUCAACCACUGUUUCAAUCUUUCUCCAUGCUUGAUCACUCUCCUAGAAGCUAAAACAGCUUCAGGUUCGAUGAUGUCAGCUCUAUCAUCUUCCAGCCCAGUAGGUAAGUCUGCUUCUGCCUCAUAAUUUCCCACUACCUUCUUGAGUAAGGACACAUGAAACAUGGGAUGAAUUCUUGAAGUGGGAGGAAGUUGCAGUUUGUAAGCCACUUUCCGAAUCUUUUCUAGUAUUUUAAACGGCCCAUAAUACCUUGCACUGAGUUUAGGACUAAUUCUAGCCAUGACUGAAUGCUGCCUGUGUUGUUUAAGCUUUAAAAACACCAUAUCUCCUACUUCAAACUCCCUUUCCUUUCUGUGCUUAUCCGCCUGGGUUUUCAUGCGAUCUUGGACCCUUACUAAAUGUGUUUUUAACUGUCUCAAUGCCUCGUCACGAUCAAUUAACUCCCUCUGAGCUGAUUCUACUCUCACUUCCCCUGGAAUGCACGGUAUAAUCUUGGGAUGUUCACGACCGUACACCACUGCAAAAGGAGUAGUCCCUAUAGACUCUUGGUGCGUGGUAUUGAUCCAGAAUUCUGCCUAGGACAACCAAAGGGACCAAUUUUUAGGCUGGUCGGUAAUGAAACAACGCAAAUAGGUUUCAAGACACCUAUUUGUGACUUCGGUCUGUCCAUCCGUUUGCGGAUGGUAAGCUGUACUCAUCUUGAGCAUUGUUCCCUGUAACUUAAAAAUUUCCUUCUUAAACAAACUCAUAAAUAAAGGAUCUUUAUCACUCACGAGAGAUUUUGGAACUCCAUGUAGCCUCACUACUUCCCUUACGAAAAUCUCAGCAAUUCCCUUGGCAGUAUAAGGGUGUUUCAAUGGAACAAAAUUGCUAUAUUUGGUCAGCCUGUCCACAACAACCAGAAUAGCUUCAUAGCCUCUCGAGCGAGGCAACCCUGUGAUAAAAUCAACUGAUACAUCCUCCCAGACCUGUUCUGGAAUAGGAAGAGGUUGCAGCAAUCCUCCAGGUGAGGUAGGACUAUACUUCUGACGCUGACAAAUGUCACAAGCUUGCACAAACUGUUUGACAUCUUCUUUCAUACCUUUCCAAAAUAAAUUGGAAGCCAACCUCCGAUAUGUCCUAUAAAAACCCGAAUGACCAGCUUGAGGAGUAGAAUGAAAUUCCUCUAGUAACUUCUGAAUCCAAGGAGAUUUCUCAUGCAUCACCAACCUUCCUUUAUAAAGCAGCACUCCCUGAUUAUAGGAGAAACCAGUAUGGGCCUCUUUAUCCUAUUGCAAAUCAGAAAUAACAUUUUUCCAGUGGGUAUCUUGCUGCACCUCAUGAGUCAACUGCUGCCAAUCUAACCACUUAGGAUAAUAGAUCAUAUUAGUCAAUUCGGCAUCCUCCAAACUCCUUGACAGGGCAUCAGCUCCUUUAUUCUCGUUCCUAGGCUUAUAAAUUAUCUCAAAAUUAUACCCCAUCAACUUGGCCAACCAAUUUUGUUGAUUACCUGUUAAAACCCUUUGACUUAGCAACUGUUUUAAACUCCUCUGAUCUGAAAACACAGCAAAUUUCCUUCCUAACAGGUGUGUCCGCCAAUGUUGGAUAGCAAGGACGACUGCCAUCAACUCUUUCUCAUAGGCAGAUUUAGAUAAAUUCUUCCCACCCAAUGCCUUACUGAAAUAUGCAAUUGGUUGGCUGUUUUGCAUCAGGAUUGCUCCAAUUCCUGUUCCCGAAACAUCGCAUUCUAACUCAAACUGUUCUUCAAAAUUUGGCAAUCUCAACACUGGUGCCUUCGUCAUACGCUUCUUCAAAGCAUCGAAUGCUUGUUGAGCCAAAGCACCCCAUUUAAAUCUAUUUUUUUUUUGUUAGAACAGUCAGUGCUCGUGCAAUCUUACCAUAAUCCCUUAUAAACUUCCUAUACUAGCCCGUGAGGCCUAGGAAGCCUCUGACCCCCUUCACAUUCUUUGGUCUAGGCCACUCAAGAACACUUUUCACUUUGGCAGGAUCAACCGCCACUCCCUGCACAAAGAUGAUAUGACCCAAGUAUUCAACUUGUUCUUGGCCAAUAGUGCAUUUCUCAUGUCUCGCAAACAACUUGUUGUGCCUCAAAACUUCCAGAACCUGCUGAAGCAGUUGCAAGUGCUCUUGCCAUCCUUUGCUGUACACAAGGAUGUCAUAAAAAAAAACCAACACCCCUUUUCUUAAAUAAUCUCUGAAGACAUCAUUCAUCAAAGCUUGGAAGGUAGAUGGAGCAUUCAUCAGCCCAAAAGGCAUUACAAGGUACUCGUAAUGGCUCUCAUGGGUUCUAAACGCUGUUUUAGGUAUGCCUUUGGUCCUCAUACACACCUGGUGAUAUCCUGAGCUCAAAUCCAGUUUACAAAAAUACUUAGCUCCCUGUAACUCGUCCAGUAAUUCUUCGAUAACAGGAAUUGGGAAUUUGUCAGGUAUUGUAACCCUAUUCAGUGCCCUAAAAUCCACACACAUACGCCACUUAUUGUUCCUCUUCUUAACCAAGAUGACUGGACUGGAAUAAGCAUUCUGGCUAUAUCGGAUAUGACCAUUCGCCAACAACUCUUUCACCUGUCUCUCUAUUUCAUUCUUGUGGAGGUGUGGAUACCGAUAGGGUCUUACAUUAAUUGGAGCCACUCCUGGUUGGAGAGUGAUAUUGUGCUCACGAGCUCGUGGGGGAGGCAAACCAGUGGGUUCCUUGAAAACCUCGGCAAAUAUCUCUAGAAUACUCUCCAAAACUGCCUGCGGUUCCCCCUUCACUCUAUUCUCCUGAACCUCUUUUGUCCCUUCCAUUAAAUGGCACAAUGAAAUAAAUUUGAGUUCUCCUGGUUGGAGACCCAUCAAAACUUUCUCUCCCUGGAAGUAUUAAUCUUCAUAAUCUGCCUUCUCCAGUCCACACGCAUUUCCCCUAAAGAACUUAGCCACGCCAUUCCCAAAAUCAAAUCGAUGUCCUCCAGAUCAAAAAGAUAAGCGUCAACCACAAAACAACAUCCAUUAACCUCCACCGUUAAUUCGUGACAAACCUCACAAGUCAGAGUUUUGUGACCAUCACCCAGCAAGAUUCACAUGCUCCUCGUUUCCUCCCACUUCCAUCCCAUAGCCUCCACUAACUUCCGAGAAAUAAAGUUAUGGGAAGUGCUGUUGUCGACAAGUAUAAAGAGGGGAACUCCACCUUUUUGAGGGAUUGACGAAAUUCCUCCAAAGCGGUCCCCUCCAAUGGCUUCAAGCUCGCACUCGCCUUCGAUUUCUCACUCUCCUUCUGUCCCACCGAGAUCUCACCUCCAUCUUCGUCUCCAUUCCUCCUAAAACCUCGAGAUAUGGCCUCCAUUAGUUUUGUCUGUUGCUCCGAUUGUUUCUGCAGCUGGUCCAUAAUCGAUUUGCUUUCUGCUGCCUUAAGAUGCAGUUCCACAAUUGAUGAUCGAACCCAAUCCAGCUCUCCUACGUGAAUCAUGCGUGCCUCCAUUUCCGCUGAUUCCUGUCGUUGAUUCUUCUUUUUCUGAUUCCUAGUUGUGGGCAUCCACAAAUGAGAAUAUAUCCGGCAGGUCGGACCAAAUUGAUGCAGAACCAGAAAACAAAAUAUCGUAGAUAUUGUGAAUGAAACAGGGAGACCUUGAUUGAAUUAAAAAGAUAACAAGAACAAAGAAAAAACAGACGGGAAUGGGUACCCAGUCUGUCCUAGAGCCAAGCUCCUCUAUCCAAAAUGAUAAUAAUCCCCAAAAAACAGAAAAUGCUCCCCCUUCUCUCUCCAAAUCUGUUACUAAUAACCGUAAAGAUAACAAAAGGCAAAAUAUCUAACUCCACACCCCAAAAUGCCCAUUCACUAACAAUUAUGACCAAAUCACCAUUCUAAUGUCCUCUCCUCACGUAAACACGCCCCCACCUUCCUUGGUUGCCUUCGUGUACUAAAGGCUCACGUAAUUCUUC